rnacentral:rRNA from 1 species
GUCCUUUUGAUAUUAAUAUAAGGUCUGACCUGCCCACUGAUUUUUUUGAAGGGCCGCAGUAAUUUGACUGUGCAAAGGUAGCAUAAUCAUUAGUUUUUUAAUUAAAAGCUUGUAUGAAGGGUUGGACGAGGUAAAAUCUGUCUCUAUUUAAAUUAUUAUAGAAUUUAAUUUUUAAGUUAAAAAGCUUAAAUUUAUUUAAAAGACGAGAAGACCCUAUAGAUCUUUAUAUAAAUUAUAUUAAUUUUAAUUAGGAAUAUUUUAUUUAUUAUUAUUAUUUAUAUUUUAUUGGGGUAAUAAAAAGAUUAAGAAAAUUCUUUUUUUAUUUAAACAUUGAUUUAUGAUUAAAUGAUCCAAAAUUUUUGAUUAAAAGAUUAAGUUACCUUAGGGAUAACAGCGUAAUUUUUUUAGAGAGUUCAUAUCGAUAAAAAAGUUUGCGACCUCGAUGUUGGAUUAAAAAUUAUCUUAGGUGCAGAAGUUUAAGAUUUUGGUCUGUUCGACCAUUAAAUUUUUACA